CAUUCUGCACUGGGCCGGUCAAAUUGUGUAGCUGGUCUUGCUUGUGAGAGUGUAAGAUCGGUUGUAUCCCAAAUUCUGGAACUCUAAAAGCCUGAGUGGAAGAUUGUAUGAUUUGACCAGAACAGACUCGAAGCGGCUUUGUCUCCCAGGUGCUGUGAGGCUGUGUUCUCAUCGUUCUCCCAGUGCAGGGGCCUUUGUUCGACGUUCUGAGAGGCUUUGUUCUCGGCCUUCUAUGAUGCUCUGUUCUCGACGUUCCGUGGUCCUGCGAGUCUGAGCCUGACGUUCGUUUCCGAGGCUUCCUCCUUUCGCCCCAGGCUCCGCGAGCAGGGCUGGCGCACCCCCCGGCGGCCAGCCUGUGUCACUACGUGGAGCGUGCCUCCCUACAGCCUGCAAGAGCUGGCUCUGGUAUUCAUUCAUACCCAUUUCUCAGACAGACCUUGACUGUCCCAAAGCCAGACCCCAGAAGAUCCUGCGAGGACGUCCCUCUUUUAUGAUGCCCUGUGCAUUAAGUGACCUUCUGGUGGUGACAUGGAAAGGCAGUGGCAGUGGUAGAGAGCAAAGCCUCUGAAGCCAGACUUCUUAAGGGGUGAGUAACAACUCUGCCACUUUCCAGCUGCGUGACCUUGGGAAACUCACUUAACCUCUCUGUGCCACGGCUUCUCCGUCUGUAUAAUGGGGUCAUAAUACUGUCUACCUCAUAGAGUUGUUCCGAGGAUUAAGUGAAAUUUGCCAAGUACUUGGAGCAGCGGUCUUCCGUGGAUAAAAAGCCACAGAGGGGUUUGAUAAAUAAGAAAAAAAGUAACCUAGUGAGUCCCAGGGAGAAGAAUGAGUUGGACUUUAGCAGAGACAAACCUUAUGCAGUCUUCCUGUUGUUCACAGUCGGCCUAGACUGCAUUCAUUUUCCAACAGCAGGGAGAGAAUCGAGGAUUGAGGAUCGGGUCUGGAUUGCUUACAGCAAGGCUUUCUAAGUAGUGUCUGGGGUGAAGUCGGGAUUGGUUUUUCAUCCCUGCUGUUUGUACAAGACCAUUUGAGCCAUUUGCUGAGUAGAAUGUUGCAUCUGCAAUUGAUUUAGAAUUCUGGUCACCAGGCAUUUGAAGAUGGAUAUUCAGAGGAAGAUAAAUCAAAAGAAUAAGGGAGUAAAACCAAGAUUUGAGGCCACAUGAGAGGAUUUCAAGGAGGGGAAGGGACAUCCUUGGUUGGUGGAGUCAGAAGAGCCUUGGCAAUUCCGAAGAUUUCUUUUUUGGCUUCUUGAUGUUAUUAAUGAUGACGAUGAUAUUGAAAGAGUUCUUGAGAAUGGACAUGCAACAGUUGCCUCUAUACCAGCUAAUUUUUAGAACAAAACUUAGCAAAAGAAAAAGAAAAAAAAUGAAAAGAGAAACAGUUGCUUCCAAAUAUGGCACAUGGUUUCCUCUCCUGGAAGCUGCAUGCCCAAUGCCAGCUGAUUUAUCCACAAAAGUAAAAUGAAAAUACAGAUGACCUCUGACUUAGGAGGGUUCGACUUAAUGAUUUUUCAACUUCUCGAGGGUGUAAAAGCAGCACACAUUCAGUAAAGACCAUAUUUCAGGAUGAUUUAUCAGGACCUAACCCCACUGUUAAGUCAAGGAGCGUCUGUAAAACAAUGUUAUCAGAUGGCAGCAGCCACUGUUGCUGGCAAACCCUUCUUUGUGAAGAUAGCAGGAGCCAGCGCCAAGCUUUAAGGCAAGCCAGCAGCCCCCUGUGGACAAGGGCAGGCCAUGUGCACACAGGCACCCUGUCCCAGUCAACACUCACAGUGGGUCCCCAAAGGCAACCCUAAGGAUCCGAGAUACGACUGCGGGACUCAAGUCACCCCACAAUCUCGCUACUUUGUGCUCCUU